AGCUGUCGCCGGCGGCCGGCCGGCGGUCAGCCUUCACACAGGCCCGGCUGCGGAGCGCGGUCGCCCAGGUUUACGGCGGCAGAGGGCCGAGGCUCCCGGAGAGGACCGCGAUGAGUCCGCUUCAGGUCGGGGCUGAGUGUGGGCGCGCGGUUCCCGGCGGCGUGUGACCCAGUCUUCGCCGGCCGCUGCCCUCUGCGUGUUACGAGACAGCCCUUGACGGUGAAAACAGCAGCGGCCUGCAGCAGCUGGCCUACCACACUGUGAAUCGUCGCUAUCGGGAGUUCUUGAAUCUGCAGACCCGUCUGGAGGAGAAACCAGAUCUACGAAAGUUCAUCAAAAGUCAGGAGUUUCCCCAACCCCUACUGCCCGCUUGCUUCCCACAUCGAGCCACCCUGAUUGGCCUGUUGGUUUAUGGGAGGGAUCGGGGAGGAGAAUGCCGUUUCAAGGUUCUCUGCUCCCUGGAUUUGCUUCAGGAGUUUUGAAGUUUAGUGCUGGACAGCAGCAAUCACAUUCUUUCAGAGAUGUGAAGGGUCCUAAAAAGCUCUUUCCAGAUCUUCCAUUUGGAAACAUGGACAGUGACAGAG
rnacentral:sRNA from 1 species